ACCCAAAGUAGUAAAAACAUUGUCAUUCACAAAUAUGUACUGCUUUUGGAACAUCUAUUAAAUUUGAUAGAUAUUUCUUUGUAUAUUGUUUUAUUAACAAAAAAAAAUAAAUCUAUAAAUAAUAUAAUUAACAAACUAAGUUCCAGUAACACGCUUGUCUUAUUCAUUUAUAAAUUGUUAUACAUAGCUGUGAGCACGAACAUGUUAAAAAAUAAAAUCUCUAGUUUUUCAUUAAACAUAAUAUAUAAUUUUUUACUAAAAGAUAAUUAUUAUAUCAGAAUAAACGAGAGUGCUUACGAUACAAAUGCUGACAAUAAUUGUGACACACGCUAUGGGCGUAAUGCACGUAAUGUUAAUAAAACACGUGGUACUAUUUCACGUUGCAGUAGUUUUAGUACAAACUCACCUAAUGAUAGCAGUACGUGCGACGUUACUAUCACACAUAGUGAUUAUAUAACUUCUGACGAUUCAUGUGAAUUUAUAAAGCCAAAUUUUAAAUUCUUGUCAGAAGAAAAAAAAAAAAAAAAAAUGGAAAAAAUGAAACAAAGAUAUAAAAGCUUGUCCAUCUUAAUUAAUUUUAUAUUUUUUAUUCUUUCGAAGUAUACAAAAAAGGUAAUUAAAAAUGUGACAAAAUGUCACGCACAAACGACAACAAAAAUGCCUACCAAUUUGUACACUAACAUCGUAAACGUAUACGAAAUGGAAAAAUGGUUGAAUAUUGAAAAUACUAGUUUUCAAAGCCAUGAAACAAAUUACUUAAAAAUGGAUAUCCAUUUUAUUAAAAAUAUUAUGUCCAUGCUACAUACAAUAUUAAAACGAAAAGUGUAUAUAGACAUAUAUAUAAAAAACAAAGACAUAGAAUGUAUUGAUAUUAACAUAUUGGCAAAGUAUAAUUAUAAGCAUUUUAUUACCAAACAUAGCAGCUUGACUGAAAAUAUAAAUUUGUUAAAACGCAAUCAUAACAACAGUAGUACUAAUGAAAAUGACACACAUUCAAAUGGGAAUAAUAAUCAAGUUAGUUCUAAUGGGACUAGUAGCUCGAAAGAAAAUACCAACGCGGGAGACAGCAGAAAAAGUGGAAACAAAAACCUGGUUGACGCUGAAAAGACUAAGAAUAGUAAUCAAAAAAAAAGUUUGAUUAAGAAUGAGAGUCUUAUUAAAGGCACAGGUUUGAGAAAAGGCACAGGUUUGAGAAAAGGUACAGGUUUACCUACAGGUACAGGUUUACCUACAGGUACAGGUUUACCUACAGGUACAGGUUUACGUACAGGUACAGGUUUACGUACAGAUACAGGCUUACGCACAGGUACAGGUUUACGUACAGAUACAGGUUUACGUACAGGUACAGGUUUACGUACAGGUACAGGUUUACGUACAGAUACAGGCUUACGUACAGGUUCAGGCUUACGUACAGGUUCAGGCUUACGUACAGGUACAGGCUUACGUACAGGUACAGGCUUACGUACAGGUACAGGCUUGCGUACAGGUACAGGUUUACCUACAGAUACAGGUUUACCUACAGAUACAGGUUUACCUACAGAUACAGGUUUUAGUAAAAACAAAAAAGAACAGAACAGAGAAAAAAAUAAUAAAAAUAGUAAUAAUAAUAAAAAUAGUAAUAAUAAUAAUAAUAAUAAUAAUAGAAGCAACAGCAAAAGCAACAACGAAGACAACCUUAGCGAUGCAGCGCUAGUCCCUUUUGUAGACGACAAUAUAAAAAAUUUAAGAAUUUUUAAAAAAAUACUUUUUAAUAAAUAUACUAAAAUAUUACUAACAUUCUGUAACAUAUAUAAUGACAUUAUUAUUGAAUGUCUACAUAUGCAGUCACUUUUAUUUUAUUUUCAAUAUAUAUUUUUACUUUUAGAAAAAAAAAUUGAAAUGAAAUAUAUAAACAAUGGCUACACUGUACCGAAACAGUAUAUUUUAGUAUACUUUUUAAGUUACUACAAAAUGGACAAACAAAUAUACAAGUUUCUAAAAACGAAUUAUUUUUUUAUUCUUAAGUAUGUUAUGUAUAUGCAGAAGGCUGCAGUCUCUGACAAUUGUGUUUUGCCAAAUAUAACUACUGAAAACGAUGUAACUGAUAGUGUUACAAAUACCGCGACAAGUGUUAAUAGAAAUAAAACAUGUACAGAAAAAGACAGAUUGGUGAAUACCAACAAACACGUGAACUAUCAUUAUACCACUGUAAAGGAAGAAGAUAGUUAUAAAAAUUAUUGUAAGCUAUUUUAUGAAUAUACGAUAAACAAGUAUAAACAAUAUAGCAAUGAUAGCACUUAUGAAUGUAAUGGUAACUAUAACUACAACAACAGUUGCAAUAAUAACACUAACACAUCAAUGUACGUUUGUAUGCUUGAAUUGUAUUGCCCUUGCUGUAAUGAAGUAAAAAUUUUAUUUUUAUGUACUAUCCUUUUUAUAAAUUUUAUGCUCCAAAACUUUCCUUUAUUUUUUUUACAAACAAAUAAUGAUAAAACAAAUAAUGACAAAACAAAUAAUGAUAAAACAAAUACACAAAACGAACUGGAUUUAAAAAAAAAAGAGAAAGAGGAUAGUAUUAUUAUUUUAAGUGAGCGUAUAAUUUAUGAGUUGAGCAAAAAAAAAAUAUAUAUUAAUUUUUCGGUAUUAAAUGAGUUCGAAUUAUUAGAAAAACGUUUUAUAAAAAUAAUUAUUAAAUUGUUAUGUUGUAAUAAACAAACAGCGACUAGCAAUUUGAAAGAGUAUGAGGCAUCUAUUAGUGACGCUUGUCUCAGUUGGGGUGACAAUUGUAGUGGUAAUUGUGAUUAUAAACGUGGCAGUGAUAACAAUAAGUUAACACGAAAAAGAGAAAAAACCAAUAGCACCGUUCUAAGUAAUAAACCAAAAAAGAAUGAACAAAAAAACAGUCAUAUCAGUUUUUAUAACAUUAAUAAAACAAAAGAGCGAACAAGCAGCACUACAAUCACACAAUCAAAAAACAAGCAAGUGUUUAAGAAUGCUAAAAAAGAAUGUAAUCAUAUUACAAAAAAUGAUGAUAAAAAUAUGUUAUUAAUAAAAAAUCCUAUCACUUUUACUAACGAUAUAUUUAAAACUGUUAUGAAUAGUUUAUCUCUGGAACAACCCUCUAAUAUAUUUUUAAAAUCUAUAGGCCAAGAAAAUUAUUUUUACAUAAGCAAUUUUUUGACCAAUUUCUUUAUAGAAUAAAAAAAAAGUCAAAUAAGAUAGUUAACACGUACGCACAAUCAUAUAUAUAUAUAUAUAUAUAUAUAUAUAUAUAUACACAAACAUCGGUGUUAAAAUGUAUUUUUACCUUUUUAAUCAUUAUUAUACCUUUUAUAGACAAAC
ensembl:lncRNA